rnacentral:RNase_P_RNA from 1 species
CAGGCAGGCCGGGCAGCCGCUGCGACGCGAAAGCGACGCGGAGGAAAGUCCGAACUCCACGGGGCACGGUGGUGGCUAACGGCCACCGUCCGCAAGGAUAGGGAAAGUGCCACAGAAAACAUACCGCCACGGCGCCUCCGGGCGUCGCGGUAAGGGUGAAAUGGCGAGGUAAGAGCUCACCGCGGUUCUGGUGACAGGACCGGCACGGUAAACCCCACCGGGAGCAAGGCCAAAUUGGGAGCAAGGGGCCGCCCCACCCCACGCCGCCUUCGGGCGACAUGAGCUCCGGGUAGGCCGCUCGAGCGCGGCGGGCAACCGCCGAGCCCAGAUAAAUGGCUGCCCGGCGACUUCGGUCGCCGACAGGAUUCGGCUUACAGGCCUGGCUGCAGG